ACCUACCUAUAAGACUGGAAUAACUUCGGGAAACCGGAGCUAAUGCCGGAUAACAUAUAGAACCGCAUGGUUCUAUAGUGAAAGAUGGUUUUGCUAUCACUUAUAGAUGGACCCGCGCCGUAUUAGCUAGUUGGUAAGGUAAUGGCUUACCAAGGCGACGAUACGUAGCCGACCUGAGAGGGUGAUCGGCCACACUGGAACUGAGACACGGUCCAGACUCCUACGGGAGGCAGCAGUGGUC
rnacentral:rRNA from 1 species